CAGAUUCUGCGCCGUUCAUCUCCACCUUCUUCUUCUUCAUCUUCCCGCCCCAUGCCUACUGUAUCCUGCACCUCUAACGUUGCUCACCAAAACGUAAAUGCACACCCUUCUUUCACAGCAUCGCAGCUCCAAGAUGGGAAGAUCUUGGCCCUUGAUUCCACCGCUUCUAAUAAGACACCAAGGAUAUACCAUUACCAUUACUGAAAAUGCAAAGCUAGCUGGACAAUGCCUGAAAAUGGCGCAAAAUUAACUGACACCAUCAACAGUUG
rnacentral:lncRNA from 1 species